UACGUAGGGUGCGAGCGUUGUCCGGAAUUAUUGGGCGUAAAGAGCUCGUAGGCGGUCUGUCGCGUCGAUCGUGAAAACUUGGGGCUUAACCCUGAGCUUGCGGUCGAUACGGGCAUGACUGGAGUUCGGCAGGGGAGACUGGAAUUCCUGGUGUAGCGGUGAAAUGCGCAGAUAUCUGGAGGAACACCGGUGGCGAAGGCGGCAUCCUGGACCAACACUGACGCUGAGGAGCGAAAGCCAGGGGAGCAAAGCGGG
rnacentral:rRNA from 1 species